GAAUUAGAGUCUUCAUUCCUGCAGAUUGAAGCAACUGCAAAUCAUUUGUUUUAUGUUUGUUUUAUCGUUUGUUUGGUGUAGAAUCAAGUAGGCUUCCCUGGCACCUGGAAGACUUUUUAGAAGGACUGAGCUGACAUGUCCAUUAGUCUCUUUGUAAAUGAAGUUUUUUCCUUUCUUUUCCAGCAGCAAAUAUGGUGCUUUGGACUCUUGGCAAGAACACUGGCAAAAUUCCAACGAGCCAGUCUUUUUGGAAGACUUUGAUCCCGGCCAACAUGGUCUACUCUUUCAAUUAAAAAAAUUAAAAAGUGAAGAAAAAGUCACAGUAUAUUAUGAUUCUCAGCAUUUCUCUUACAAGGACAAAGCAAAAAUGGAAUGA
rnacentral:lncRNA from 1 species